rnacentral:lncRNA from 1 species
CUGUGAUAAUGCAGACUAUCUGGCUCUUUGAACCCAGGGUGUCUUCAGCAUGUCUCUGCAUGUCAUUUUGGGUAUUCUGUGUACGUGUGCAUCCUUACGUCUGUCGUUUUGAUGCCCAAGUUUGCUCAUUCCAGGGUCUGUCUUCAAACGUCAGCUGACUUGCCACGGUUUGUUUUGUUCAUCACUGUUGUUAUCACCCAGCUCUGAGUCGUGAGUCUGUUCUUCUCGUAUUUUAUGUCUUCCUUUGGGGGAGGGGGAAGGGGAGUUGACCAAUUGCUAGCAGCUGUUACUCUUUUCACAAUAGGGCCGCCUCUCGAGCCCAGUGUGUGCGAGUGUGACUGAGAGUUAUGUUAUGAAACCAGGCACACUGCUGCUCGACUUCACCCCUCUUCGCUUGACAGUACUUUCCCUUCAGAAGUCCUAGUGGUGCCGGGAGACUCCCACGUGUGAAAGCCAGAGCUCAAAACCAACUAAUUAACUGGCAACGACCCUCCCAACCCUUUCCCUUGAGGAGCACUUUUAAACCCCAGUUUCAUCAAAACACUGCUUCAACCCUUCCUCAGGAGAACGCUCAUGUGCUUACAAGGUGACCAGACGUUCUUGGGAACGCAGACUUGCAACACAAGGAAAGUAGCACGAUGACAUGCCGGCUGCCCUCGAGGCUUCUGCUGUGGUUCAUUGGGUUAUUGGGUGUCGCGUUAUUGACGUUAUUCGUGGUUUGCAUGACUACGCAGAUUCAGGUGCCAUGGCAAGUGAUGAGUCUCCCAAGUAAACAUUUCAGGUUUUUUUCUGGCAAGAAUGACAGCAGUUCUUUGGAAUAUCAACCGUCUGCUGAGAAUGAACUGGACACUGCUGAAGAGCUGGGGCAAAAUUCCUUGCAGAAAUCAGAUGUUCAGAAGUCAGGAAAUGAUGCAAAGUCUGAUCAAGCAAAGUCAAUCACAAACUCCUUAAAACCAGUGGCAAAACCCACUGAGCUGGACUUUUUUGGUGACCGGUAUGCCACAGAUGACAUUCCUUCACAAACAGUGAGUGUGUUUUGAGCCUAGUAUUAUGUACUAUCGUGUCUAUGUUAGUAUCGUGAGUGAGUGUAGAAGCCACCUGCUUAAAGUCAGUUUCAUUGAAGUGUUUGUACAAAUGCUGUGGUCAUUCAAAUGUAAUGGUCAUUCAAAUUCAGCAAAAAGCCAGCGGAUGUCCGGAGAAAAAGCAAAGCAGUAUGUAGUAAGCUAAGGUUAGUCAGUCACAACAGAACAGCAACAAUUUAUUUAGGUGACACUGAAAAAUAUUAAAUUAAAUGUCCCAAAUUAAAACAACCAAACAUUACAACUCAACUGUG